rnacentral:rRNA from 1 species
UGGGGAAUAUUGCACAAUGGGCGCAAGCCUGAUGCAGCCAUGCCGCGUGUGUGAAGAAGGCCUUCGGGUUGUAAAGCACUUUCAGCGGGGAGGAAGGCGGUGAGGUUAAUAACCUCAUCGAUUGACGUUACCCGCAGAAGAAGCACCGGCUAACUCCGUGCCAGCAGCCGCGGUAAUACGGAGGGUGCAAGCGUUAAUCGGAAUUACUGGGCGUAAAGCGCACGCAGGCGGUCUGUCAAGUCGGAUGUGAAAUCCCCGGGCUCAACCUGGGAACUGCAUUCGAAACUGGUAGGCUAGAGUCUUGUAGAGGGGGGUAGAAUUCCAGGUGUAGCGGUGAAAUGCGUAGAGAUCUGGAGGAAUACCGGUGGCGAAGGCGGCCCCCUGGACAAAGACUGACGCUCAGGUGCGAAAGCGUGGGGAGCAAACAGG